CCUACGGGAGGCAGCAGUGAGGAAUAUUGGUCAAUGGACGAGAGUCUGAACCAGCCAAGUAGCGUGAAGGAUGACUGCCCUAUGGGUUGUAAACUUCUUUUAUAUGGGAAUAAACUGUUCCACGUGUGGGAUUUUGUAUGUACCAUAUGAAUAAGGAUCGGCUAACUCCGUGCCAGCAGCCGCGGUAAUACGGAGGCUACGAGCGUUAUCCGGAUUUAUUGGGUUUAAAGGGAGCGUAGGUGGGUUGUUAAGUCAGUUGUGAAAGUUUGCGGCUCAACCGUAAAAUUGCAGUUGAAACUGGCAGUCUAGAGUACAGGAGAGGUGGGCGGAAUGCGUGGUGUAGCGGUGAAAUGCUUAGAUAUCACGAAGAACUCCGAUUGCGAAGGCAGCUCACUGGACUGCAACUGACACUGAGGCUCGAAAGUGUGGGUAUCAAACAGGAUUAGAUACCCGAGUAGUC
rnacentral:rRNA from 1 species